GAUGAACGCUGGCGGCGUGCCUAAUACAUGCAAGUCGAACGCUUUGUCUUUAAUUGUUAUGGAUAGCUUGCUCUGAUUUGGGUUUAUCUGACAAAAGUUAGCUAACGGGUGAGUAACGCGUACGUAACCUACCUCUGAGCAGUAGAUGACAUUUGGAACCGAUUGCUGAUACGGUAUAACACUAACAACCGCAUGGGGGUGAAUUGGCGGAUUAUUCUGCUAUCACUAAGGGAGUGACCCGCGGUGCAUUUGCUAGUUGGUAAGGUAAUGACUUAGCAAGGCGGUGAGGGGUAUACGAGUGGAGAGACGGAUAGGCCACAAUGGGACUGAGCCACGGCCAAUACUCCUACGGGAGGCAGCAGUAGGGAAUCUUCCACAAUGGGCGCAAGCCUGAUGGAAUAACGGGGCGUGUGUGAUGAAGGGUUUCGGCGCGUAAAACACUGUUAUAAGUGAAGAACGACAUUGAGCGUAAAUGUUCCGUGUGUGACGGUAUCUUAUCAGAAAGGACCGGCUAAAUACGUG
rnacentral:rRNA from 1 species